ACGAGUAAUUAAAUCUUUCUUUCCCCCCUCUCUGUUUACUGUGCUGUUGCCUGUUGUGUGUGCUACUAUUUAAUUCUUACAUAGAUUCAUCGGUAUUUUUGAAGCUUUCUCUCUUCCCAACCAUGGCUAUCACCUGAUUUAUUAAUAACCAAAGGGGAAAGAGCUCUUUGAACAGAACGCGAGAGUGAGAGAGAAAGAGAUCAAGGGUGCCCUCAAGCAUUCAUGGUCUCAGUUUCACGAAUCCAUUACAUGAAAAACAACUUCUCUUUUCUUGAUCUCCAAAAAUGGCAACUUUGCAAGAAACCCAUCUCGAUUUGGAGGCCGGUGGAGGCGGCGGAAACCAUACCCAUCGUCAAUCAAUCACCACCAGUGUCGGAGACCGUAGCUCACGGUCAUCGGAUGCUAGUGAAGAAAGUACUACAGUCACCACUGAGAUUGUAGGUGUUGUGUCGUCAUCAUCUUCGGAGGAGGAGGAGAAAGGGAGGCAAUCCUCUGUGUCAGAUUUCUCGGUGGUGGAUCUGGAAAACGGUGGUGGUGGUGGGGUCCAUGGUGAUGGGGGCAGUAAGGUACAUUUGUCAAAAAUUGAAAGGGAUUGUAGAAUUUGUCAUUUGAGUCUUGAUUUAACCAAUCCAGAAUCUGAAAAUGGGAUUCCCAUUGAGUUAGGUUGUUCUUGUAAAGAUGAUUUAGCUGCUGCUCAUAAACAUUGCGCUGAAGCUUGGUUUAAGAUCAAGGGCAACAAAACAUGUGAGAUUUGUGGAUCAAUUGCUCAUAAUGUUGCUGGUGCGAACGAGGCUGAAUUAAUGGAACAAUGGAACGAAGCUAACGAUGCCACGUCAGCAGCUACUGCGCCUGGUGGGACCACCGCCACCUCAUCAGAGAGUCGAACCUUCUGGCAAGGCCAUCGGUUCCUCAACUUCUUGCUUGCUUGUAUGGUUUUCGCCUUUGUCAUCUCGUGGCUAUUUCAUUUCAAUGUCCCUUCAUGAUGUCUGCAUAAAGUAGUAGAUUCCAUCGAAGAAAAAACAUUCAAAAUGAGUGAAAGGAAAGAGACUAUAUACCCUUCUUUUUUUAGUAGGGUUGUGAAAGACAGAUCACGUGGGUUUCUGGCUGUUUCAAGGUUGUCCCUUUGGAAGGACACUUUGUUUGUGGUGUUGUUGAAUGUUGAGUGGUCUCCUUGGAUUUUAUUCAUUAGGUAAUGUGGGUUGUUUUUCCUCGGGUUUGUUUUGGAUGCUUAAACAAUUUAGCAUUGCUUGCUUGCUUCUUUAAAGCUGUUGCUUCUUUUGGGCUUUUGAGUGUCACCUUGGGGCUUUCUUCAAUGGCUUAUGUUUAUGGGCGUUGAUUUUCUUUGAGACUUUAGUAGGUAUUGGAUAUUGAUUUGAACAUUUUUAAACCCGUAUUUGUAUUGGAAUUUAAGGAAAAAAAAGACUUGGUCUUCACCCUCAUUUAAAUCGGCCGUAGGGCAUUAAUCAAGUGUAUUGCCAGUUAAUACGAGAUGUUGUAUUCA